rnacentral:lncRNA from 1 species
CCCCUCCCCGUCGUGGGCGGACCCUCCAGGACCCCUGUGGACGCCCACCCCGGGCCGGGCCCCAACUGCAACGUGAGCCGGGCCUGGGGGGUUGGUCGGCAGGCAGCGGCGGGACCGUCCCGGACUGUAAACAGCAACAACCCCGAGCCGCCCCGCCUCCGCUCUGCCGAGGGCUGUCCCGGCCGCUCCAGGAAACGGCCUUCCAGGAACCGGGCCUCCGUGACCGUCACUCUCCCACCUCUCCCCACCCUGCCCCGCCUCCGGCUGUUUGUCCAAGAUGAGACUCUGCCCGGCGGAGAGAGGAAGGGGGCCGCCCCACCCCGUCCACUCAGGACCCGGGGUGGAGCGCCAGGCCCCGCCCCUGCACCUCUGCCCUUUUACCCCUCAACAGCCGGAAGGCGGAGGGACUGGCGUCCCAAGUUUCUGGUGAACCCCCGUCCCCCGGCCGCCCCGGCGACGGCUGCGGUUGCCGGCGGCCAUCGAGGCCGAUGUGCUUUUCUGGUCGGAGGGCCGAGUCCCCCCAGCUCCCCUGGGGCCUUUCUCUCGGGCUACGGUCUGAGAUCUGUCGGGUCGGAGCACUCCCUUUCCUUCCAGCACCCCAACCCUCAGCCCUGCCCUCCCCUCGGACCCCGUGGGACUGGGAGCUGGCCAAAGGGAGGCUAUAGCCAACUGGGUGAGGGGCCCAGGGACUCCCCUGCCAGCCCUCCAACAAGACCCAGACGAGGCCCGGAUCCCCCCGGCCCUUUGCAGAGCCGCCGCCGUCGCGAGACGGGUCUCCCCCCGUGCUCGUACCCUCCGGGCCCGGCUUCCGGCCGCCCCGCUAGAGCCGGGCUGAGGGAGGCAGGGCCUCUUUCCUCUGCCAUUGCUCCUUCCUCAGGAAGGGGAGGGAGCUCUCUUCCCUCCCCUAGGCUGCUGAGCCCAGCCCCUCUUGGCUGCCUUGAUUUCCUCUCUCUCUCUCUCUCUCUCAGAAAUAGGCUGUUGGCUUAUCUUCCCCCUGCCAACGACCAACCUGCCCCUUUUCCCCCCCCUCCAGGGCUUUCCCUUCCCAGUGGAAUCCCAAGAGGAGGUGAGCCGGUUAUCCUGCACCCUCCCUCAUCUUCGCUCUCUGCGGCCUGGGCCUCAUAA